rnacentral:rRNA from 1 species
AACGAACGCUGGCGGCGCGUUUUAAGCAUGCAAGUCGAGCGGUAAGGUCCUUCGGACCCGACGAGCGGCGGACGGGUGGAGUAACACGUGGAUAAUACUGCCUCUCAGUCCGGGAGUAGCACAUGGAAACAAUGUGAUAAUACCGGAUACGAUGUGCCUGUCACAUGGCGGGUGGCAGGAAAGGUCCUGCGGGAUCGCUGGGAGAUGAGUCCGCGGCCCAUUAGCUUGUUGGCGGGGUAAAGGCCCACCCAAGGCGACGAUGGGUAGCCGGCCUGAGAGGGUGGACGGCCACAUUGGGGCUGAGACACGGCCCAGACUCCUACGGGAGGCAGCAGCUAAGAAUCUUCCACAAUGGACGAAAGUCUGAU